rnacentral:rRNA from 1 species
AUUGAACGCUGGCGGCAUGCCUUACACAUGCAAGUCGAACGGCAGCACGGGUGCUUGCACCUGUUGGCGAGUGGCGAACGGGUGAGUAAUACAUCGGAACAUGUCCUGUAGUGGGGGAUAGCCCGGCGAAAGCCGGAUUAAUACCGCAUACGAUCUACGGAUGAAAGCGGGGGACCUUCGGGCCUCGCGCUAUAGGGUUGGCCGAUGGCUGAUUAGCUAGUUGGGGGGGUAAAGGCCUACCAAGACGGCGAUCAGUAGCUGGUGUGAGAGGAGGACCAGCCACACGGGGACUGGGACACGGCCCAGAGUCCUACGGGAGGGAGCAGUGGGGAAUUUUGGACAAUGGGCGAAAGCCUGAUACAGCAAUGCCGAGUGUGUGAAGAAGGCCUUCGGGUUGUGAAGCACUUUUGUGCGGAGAGAAAUCCUUGGCCCUAAUACGGUCGGGGGAUGACGGUACCGGAAGAAUAAGCACCGGCUAACUACGUG